CGAACUGGCGAACAUUUAGGGGAAGCCCUGCACCGUGGGUGGCUGGCGAAAUUGCUGACAAAAUGCUUCGAACCUCCUGCCCACAAGUCAACCAUCAAGAAUCCACUACGUUAGAUUAGGAAAAACCGAGAAGGAUAGGCGCCUACCAUGGGAUACUUUUGACACCACAUCGAUAUGUUUUGAUUGCACCGCCCUGGCCUUGGUGCUGAACGCGACUCUCCAUUUGGGCUUUUGCCUAGAUGAAUAGAAGAGGAAAGAACUCGGACCAACAAGCCAGGAAAAAGUCUCUCAUCAAACGGACCCCAUCUAUGUGCUGGAGAACAACAUCCCCAUCAACACUAAGUACUACCUUGACCAACAGCUGUCCAAACCUGUGCUCCGUAUCUUUGAGCCAAUCCUGGGAGAGUCCAAGGCCACCUCUGUACUACUCAAGGGGGAGCACACCCUGAGCAAGACUGUCGUUUCCUCAAAGAUCAGCGCCCUUGCUGGCUUUGUGAAAAAAUGCAGCACCUGUAUUGGCUGUAAGACUGUCCUACAGAAGAAUUAUAAGGGACGGUCGUCUGCAAGUAUUGCAAGGAGAAAUUGCUUUACGAAAAGAUGAUCUGCUUAGUUUCAAUGAUUAAAGAGAACUACUGCUUUAGUACUGCAUACUGAAUAUAACGACAAUGACAGGGUUAUGAGAUCAGACUUUUACAACUGUACAACUAAGCCAAACUGCAACAACUGUAGGACUGUACUUCUAACAUUCCAGACUCAUUCAGUUUGAUGUGGCAGUGGGGAUCAAAAUUAUAAAGUAAUCAAUGACAUAUGAUAUUAAAAAAGGAUCCUAUUGAAAUAUGAUUGUACACAUGUUGCCUACUCUCAAUGGGAUUGGAAUAAAAUAUCUGUGACUAUCAA